rnacentral:rRNA from 11 species
GGAUGUGGGCCUACAUACCUUAAAGGUACAAGAUCCACUCUGAUCUUGGAAGCUAAGCAGAGACAGACCUAAUUAGUAAUUGGAUGGAAGACCAUCAAUAAAUCCAGGUGCUAUACCUU